GAUGAACGCUGGCGGCGUGCCUAAUACAUGCAAGUAGAACGCUGAAGGAGGAUCUUGCUCUUCUGGAUGAGUUGCGAACGGGUGAGUAACGCGUAGGUAACCUGCCUGGUAGCGGGGGAUAACUCUUGGAAACGAUAGCUAAUACCGCAUGACAACAGUUAUUGCAUGAUAACUGUUUAAAAGGGGCAACUGCUCCACUACCAGAUGGACCUGCGUUGUAUUAGCUAGUUGGUGAGGUAACGGCUCACCAAGGCGACGAUACAUAGCCGACCUGAGAGGGUGAUCGGCCACACUGGGACUGAGACACGGCCCAGACUCCUACGGGAGGCAGCAGUAGGGAAUCUUCGGCAAUGGACGGAAGUCUGACCGAGCAACGCCGCGUGAGUGAAGAAGGUUUUCGGAUCGUAAAGCUCUGUUGUAAGAGAAGAACGAGUGUGAGAGUGGAAAGUUCACACUGUGACGGUAUCUUACCAGAAAGGGACGGCUAACUACGUG
rnacentral:rRNA from 1 species